AACAUUCAGUCUGGUUCCUGCACCGAAAGUCCACCACAGUGAUGCAAACUGGUUCAGUCGCCGUACAAAAACCUCUCAAUGUAGAGAGACACGGCUCUCUGACUGUGACACAAACAAACUCAACAUCAACACUUCCUGUUUCUAAAAGAAUGAAAUAUUUCAUAUUAUACUGAUCAAACAGAGACACAGCUGUUCAGAAUUAGUCACAUUUUGACAGAUAGAAGUUUACAUAUGUCUAAAAGUCAAAGUGAAGUUGUUCUGGCAUUAAAUGAAACAAGACAGAAGACGUUCUUAAAGAAAAUGUAUCCACAGUCAUCAAACCAAAUCCACCUUAAAAUAAUGACUGACUGUUAAUCAAUACUCUGAUAAAGUGAUUGAUCCAUUGAUAAACAGCAUGAUCAGAGUAAUCCAAGUCCCUGUUGGAGUCAGUCAGAGCAUUUCCAUAGAGAGCCACUUUGCAUCAGCAGCACCAUGCUCCAGUGCUCUGGGAGACUUUAUAGCCCUGAGAGUUGAACACUGGAUGACUGACAGCUGUCCUUCAUGACAACAGAAGCCACAGAAAUCCUCCUCAUCAAAAACAUGACUUUGACCUCCGUCCUCAUCUGGACUCUCCUCUGCUGCUGCUUCACAGAGUCCAGAGGCCAGGUCACAGUGACUCAGCCUGGAGCAGUGAGCUCUGCUGUGGGGGGCUCCGUCACCAUCAGCUGUAGGACCAGUCAGAAUGUUUAUAAGAAUUACCUAUCCUGGUACCAACAGAGAGAUGGAGAAACUCCUAAACUCAUUAUUAAGUAUCCUAAUCAGGUAGUAUCAGGGAUUCCAGAUCGUUUUUCAGGCAGUGGAUCAAACUCUGACUUCACUCUGACCAUCAGUGGAGUUCAGACUGAAGAUGUAGCAGUUUACUACUGUAUGGGUCCCUUCACCUCCUGCCACCUGCUUGCCUGCUCUCCAUCAACCAUCUCCAGACAGUCCACACUCCGUGCCUCUCCCAUCCGUUUUACCACUGCUUCACCUCAGCCAUUCCCUCCACCUCGUCAUCGGACCCUCUCCUUCCCCUUUUCUCUCACAUCACAAUAAAUCCCCUUCUCUUACCAACCAUUGUCUGAGCCUGUAUUUUGGGUCAGUACCUGUGUAACCAUGACACAUUUCCUUUAAGAAACAGAAGUAUUUGUGACUGCAAACUAAAUUUUAUACAAAGAACAUGAAAAUAGUGUUUGAACAAAAGGAAACUUUAUGUAAGUUGUGUAUGAAAUAUAAACUAACUUCAACUGUUAAUUAAACAUCAGAUCUACAAUAGUAACAGAGUCAGUGAAUUGACCUCAGAGUCUGCAAUCUGCAGUGUGGACUCUCCAGAAGAUCAGACAGCAGCUUCACUCCUGAAUCCUGCAGCUUGUUGUCACUCAGGUCCAGCUCUGUCAGAUA